rnacentral:rRNA from 1 species
UGAGGAAUAUUGGUCAAUGGACGCAAGUCUGAACCAGCCAAGUAGCGUGCAGGAUGACGGCCCUAUGGGUUGUAAACUGCUUUUAUAUGGGGAUAAAGUGGGGAACGUGUUCCCUUUUGCAGGUACCAUAUGAAUAAGGACCGGCUAAUUCCGUGCCAGCAGCCGAGGUAAUACGGAAGGUUCGGGCGUUAUCCGGAUUUAUUGGGUUUAAAGGGAGCGUAGGCCGUUUGGUAAGCGUGUUGUGAAAUGUAGGAGCUCAACUUCUAGAUUGCAGCGCGAAAUGUCAUACUUGAGUUCGCACAACGUAGGCGGAAUUCAUGGUGUAGCGGUGAAAUGCUUAGAUAUCAUGAAGAACUCCGAUUGCGAAGGCAGCUUACGGGAGCGCAACUGACGCUGAAGCUCGAAGGUGCGGGUAUCGAACAGG